AAUGCAAUACAGGAGGUUAUUUCAAGUGUAUCUUCCACCUUUUGUUUCUUGUUUUUCAUGCGAACUUCUGAUUGAAAAAAAGCUACCAGAAUUAUCGAUUUUGUCUGUGAACAUCACCAAAAUGAUCUUUCGGGAUUGCUUCUGCUUUCUUCUUUAGGGUUUAUCUAUGUCGACUUUGCCAAUGUUAACAGAGAUAACACAUCAAUUUUAUAAUCGGGUCUUCUCUACUAACUGAAAACAACAUUUAUCAAUUCAAGUCAGCCCACCUUAUUCUGCAAAUUUCAAUCGAUUAUUCAUGUGUGGAGAAGGAAAAAGGGGCGGUGACCAAAGUGCAACAACGAAUUCAAGAAAUUGACCAGCUCUUAGCUCUCCGAUCACAGCAGACGCCUUCAUCAUAAUUUCUUCUCCUCCCACAUCUUCUUCUCUCUAGCCACCGCCUCCAUCCCUCCAAACUCCACCGCUAGCACUCCAAACACCGUUGCCAUCAUUGUCGACUCAGCUUCCGAUGUCCAAUCUCCACCACCGCCAUCUCUCCGAUUAGGAGAUUGAUUAUACAAAGGAGGCAGCAGCAAAUGCCGAGUUGUUUGGAAGUGAUUUCAAAGAUCUUGAUUAUGUAAAAGUCCCAAGCAUAUAUUAGGAAUACACCACUCCAUUUGAUAAUAUUUAAGUAAAAAUAUGAACUAAUCUUGGAUUUUAUGAUGUUAUCAAAGUUUUUUCUUAUCCCUUUUGGCUCAAUAGUUUGAUUAGAAAUACUGAGAAUCUUACAAAUGUCUAAAAUCGGAGUCUAAAUUGACAGCAAACAAACUAACCACAUCUAUUUGAAUAUCAAAAUUGAACACUUACUAUUGUCAACUUUCAAAAUCUGAAGUUCAUCUCCACUCAUAAAUAACUUAAUUCUACCAUUUGGGGUUGACAAAUAUAUGUUUUAGUUGCGAACAAUUAGAUGAUUUGAGUAAAUAUAUAUCUUCUUUUGCAUUAUAUUGGUUUGAAACAAACUUAAAAGGUCAAGAAAAUUUAUGUAAAAGUUGGUUACCAAAGCAUGGAGUCAGAAUCAAAGUUGGUGUGUGUUUUGUUCAUGGAUAUGGCAACACUUGCACCUUUUUGUUUGAAGGUAUGUGGUUACACCUCAUCAUCGAUGUCUUAUAUAAUCAUGAAAUUUGAUUCUUUAUCCCUAAAUUUAGUGAUAUAGUUGACAAUGUAAUCGAACAAUAUGCAAAAAUUAAAGGUACACCUAUUGUCUAAAUUUGUAUGUUUGACUUUUUUUGUCAAACAAAGUAUUUUUUGAUAAAAAAAAAAAAGAAUAAUUUUUUCCUAAUUUUGGUAUUUUCUUUCACCAUUUCAGGGGAGAUAAGUUAUUUAGUCACAAUUUUAUGAUUUUAGGAUAUUGUUUCACAAUCUCAAAAGAAACAAUUUAAAGUAAUAGUUUAUAAAUGAUGCGCGUGUAUUUUUAAAUUGUGGUUGUUUUGUGUAUGACUUUGCAUUCUUGGAUUAGUUUUCUUAAGUUUCUUAUAUUAAAUGCUUAGCAAUAGUAUUUUUCUAAAAUUAUAGUGUUCAUUCUUCUUUUUUUAUUUAAAAUGACCAUUUUGACCAUUUUGGUCAAGUUUGUUAUUCUUACCAAAAAAAAGUUGUUUCAUAAUUUGGCAUGCUUAAGUUGACAAAAAAUACUGAUAUGAAACUUUUAAAACAGAAAGUUUAAUUUUUCUUAGGUUUUUUUUGUAAAAAUGACCAUUUUACCCUUUUUGUCCAAUUUGGUCAUUUUUAUUGGUUUUUUUUUUGUUUUUCACAAUGUGAUUCAUUUAAACAGAUAACAAAAACAAUACAUUGGUAUGUUAAUUUUGUUAUAAAAAUUCUAUUUAUAACCAUUCCAGUUAUUUUAA